rnacentral:lncRNA from 1 species
ACAAUGAAGAGAUGAUUUGCUCUAUGUACGAAUUCCCCAAUAUCAUCUGCCUCUAGUUCAGUAUUGUUGUCAUUCAUGUGGAUGGGUGGGACAGAGCUGACAGUUUUCCUUCUGGAGAGAAGCAGCCUGUGACUGCUUUGCUGACAGAGGUGCUGACUCCAGGCAUCAACGAGCAUCGCAAGGAAGCCAGGGUCAUGGGUCCAGGCAGAUCCCUGCUCCCAACUGGUCUCUGUUUCUACAGGUAGCCAGAGAGGCCACAGCAAGCAUCUACAGCAAGGGUGGGGUUCCCUGGGGUCAAAGUCACAGAGAAAUGGGGAACCCUGGAAUGCAAGGGCAGGGAGGGACUUGCCAACCAGAUUCAGCAAACAUUUGCUCGGUGCCUCCAGGAUGUACUAGGCACGGGGCCAGCCUGGGCAACAAAGCGAGACCCUCAUCUCUACAAACAAUUAAAAAAUUAGCUGGGCUUCGUGGUUCACGCCUGU